ACGUCAACUAUGAUUUUGUAUUUGGUGUUCAUUUCCUUCUUUUGCCUUUCGAUCUCAGAUUCGGUUGUAGCACAAGGACGAGGUGUUUGUGGAACUCGGUCAUACAACCCUAGCUUUGAUAUUUGCUGCAACGGAGUUAUCAAUAGCCGAGGUAGGGGUAGAAGUUGCUGCGGGACUACAGCAUACAACUCUGGUUUUGACAUUUGCUGCAACGGAGUUAUUAAUAGCCGUGGUAGGGGUAGAAGUUGCUGCGGGACUACAGCAUACAACUCUGGCUUUGACAUUUGCUGCAACGGAGUUAUUAAUAGCCGUGGUAGGGGUAGAAGUUGCUGCGGGACUACAGCAUACAACCCUGGGUUUAACAAAUGCUGCAAUGGAGUUGUCUGCUAGAUAAAUGACGGAAUAUAGAAAUAAAAUUUUCCAAUUCUUU